UCCUUUCCCCUCUGGGCUCCUGUGUUUCCACCUAAGCCCGGCUCACCCAUGAGCCAGGCAUCUGCUGGCAGAUGAGAACAAGACGUGGUCUCAGGAAGUCUGCAGGCAGACCAGGAGCCCAGGCCUUCAAGGAUGAGACCUGAGGCCAUGCCGCAUUCCUGGCCUGGCCAUGUCUGUUCAUAGAAUUGCCUCCACGUUAGCCAGCCCCAUGCCUCCAGACUCUAUGUCUACACAGCUCACCUUGGCCAUCUCGGGGCCAGAGGGCAGAAGCAGCUUAUGUUGGGAAGGGGCAUCUGAGAAGAAGAUGGGGGCUCGCUGUGUCGCACACGCUGGAGUGCAGUCGUGCAAUCAUGGCUUACUACAGCCUCAAACUCCUGGGCUCAAGCGACGCUCACACCUCAGCCUCCUAAGUAGCUGGGAUUACAGGAGCAGGUCUGCUUGUCAAGAGUCCAAGCACGCCUGUGUUCUGUGGCCACAGGAGAGGAGGGGCCGCUUUUAAAUACAAGCCUACUCCUGUCGUUGGACCAGAACAAAGACCUACUGGCCAGAAGCACAUGAGAGGAGUUUCACUCUUGUCGCCCAGACUAGAGCGCAAUGGUACGAUCUUGGCUCACUGCAACUUCCACCUCCCGAGUUCAAGCAAUUCUCCUGACAGAAGUCCACUCAAGCCAGCCAUUGUAGCUAGCAUCGGGGCUCCAGCC
rnacentral:lncRNA from 1 species